rnacentral:tRNA from 1 species
AUAUAUAUACAUCAGUUGGUUAGAGCGUCGUGCUAAUAACGCGAAGGACGCGGGUUCGAACCCCGGUUUACAGG